rnacentral:misc_RNA from 1 species
CGCACAGCAACAAGAAGCGCGUGCACACGCAGCAGCAACAAAGACAUCCCUUUGCCAGGACUCGACUCCCCUCCGCUCUCCCACUCGCUCACCCUCGCCGCCCUCCUCGCCAGCUCCGCUGCGCCAUCUCGACCCCCUUGCCAUUUCACCCCCCCUCCGUCCACAUCUGCUUUACAUCCGUUUUCCGGUGUGAGCGUGCGAAGAUGGCGUGCAGGAUCAGCAUGCUUCUCUACGUGAUCUCCCAGUUCUUCGCGUUUCUCUUGGUGCUGGUGGGCACGCCGAUCGACAUGUUUCGCGCCAAUGAUACAAGCAGGAUUGGCAACACGCCGUGUCUGACCUUGUGGGGCGGAAAGGACAAGUGCUACAGCACCGUCUACAACGUGAAGUCGGACGAUCUGUGGGCGAACUGCCCGGACCGAAGCCUCCAGUUCCGCGUUGCCCAGGCACUCGCUGUCAUUUCCAUCGUCGUGUACGGCUUGGCUUUCAUCCUCGGCUUCAUUGCACUGUGCUGCUGCUUUUGCCUCCGCUGGGUCUGCCUGACGCUCAACAUCCUUGGCUUCGGCACCUUGGGCGUCGUCUGGGCGCUCAUGGUGGUGGCCUACUACAAGGAUGACGGCAGAGACUGCGCACGCGAAAACCUGGACCAUCAAUUUGGUGCCGGUUUCAUUCUCCUCGUGGUGGCCUGGUGCCUGAAUACCAUAGACAUUUUUUUCCUGCUGUUAGAGUGCGAGGCUGGGUACGCAACCGAGGAGGCAGUCCGUGCGCAAGAUCCGAAGGAACAGUAGGAGGAAGAGCGCAGGAGGAAGCGGCGCUCAUGUCAGCGAGAGAGGGCGCUAGGGCUGCUGGUUCCGGUCUCUGCCUCGCACCGGCUUCUCUCUCGCGCUGCCCUCUCGUGCGUGCGCGUGCGGCGCGCCCCACGCGCUCUCGAGGCGGCGCAGACGUGCUCCCACACACACGCACAGGCCCCAGCACACAGCCCGAGGAGCCGCUCUCGCUCCCAUUGUCCUCGCGUCUCUUCUCGAGCGCUUUCCUCCAUCUCAACCGUUAUGGCGGUGUGCGCGAAUAUGCUCUGACGUGUGGAUGGCGGUGUGGCACGUAGGAAGGAACAUGGUACGGUGUGCCGAUGGUUUGCCUCUCUCGUGCUCACGUCAUGUCAUGCGCGGCGCGUCUUUUCCUUCGCCGCUUGCCUGCUCUCCAUCUGCACAAGGAUGUGUGCUGUGUAGAUGGCAGCGCGCAUCCGGCGCCGGCAAGCCCAUCCAUGCCCCCGUCCCCCCUCCCCGCCCUCACGCUCGCCCGGCGCACCCUUGGCGGAGCGGAGAAGCGAGAUGGUGGCGCCGUCGCCGCAGGCCGGCGAAUCGGCGAGGGAAAACGAGGGCGAAAGAGAGAAGAGAACAGCCGAAGCGGGAGUGGAAGGGGGAUGGAGAAGGGGGGUGACGGAGGCGCUCGUGAGACGGGAGUGGGAGGGAGGGAGGAGUCAGAGAGGCCUAUGCGCACGCGCGCGAAACAGGAGAAGCGGCCGCGGCCCUCCUCCCUCCCCUCCGUCCACCUCGCCUUUCUCUUGCUGCGGCGGCACCCCGGUGCUCCUCGCACUGGCGAGAGGACGACGCAGAGCACCGCAGCGACAUGGAAGGCGCCGAGCAGCGUCUCUGCCGCACUCCCGGCUGUCGGUGCUUCGCCUUCUCUCUUCGUUGUGCGCGUGUUUGCCCUUCUUUUCGUUGCGCUCUCUCUGCGCGUGUGCAGACGCAAGAGGCCGAUGGGCUGGGUGGGGAAGCGAGCAGCGGCAGCAAGUGCACACACACACACACACACACACGCACGCACGAGGCAAUGAGGGGGAAAAGGAAGGAGCGAAGAAGUGCAGAGCGGAAGGGGCCCAUGCGAAACGGAAAAGAUGAACAACGAACGAGAGACGUGGCUGCUUUCCUCUUCGCUGCAGCUCGUGCCCGUGCCCGUGUCUGCGUGUGCUUGUGCCUGUGCGCGCUCCGCCCCUCCAUCUCGUCGCCUCUCCUGUGCUUUAUCUUCGUCACUUCUCUCACUUCGUGGCUACACCGCUGGACCCUCAAGGCUCCGAUGUCAAGAGUCUCCCUACAGUACUAUGGAGUGCAGCAGCUUGAGGCGACUCAGGUGGAAGCAUGGCAUGCGGGCCGUGUGCAGGGUCUCAGAGGGCCCUGUCCCGAAGCUGGCCGACUUCCUCCUUGAGCUCAUCCGGCAUUUACCUGUACCCAUCCCCUAUUACCUGCGCGGCAGGCGCCACCACCUCCGCCCACGAGCAGCACCCUGAGCGCGGCUCGCCCUAGACGGCCCGGAUUUAGCUGCAGUGCAACAGAGGUCGGUGGACCGUAGCGCGCGCGUCUACUUGCGGGCCUGCCUGCGAUGGCGUGACACGCUGAAAGCGCGCAUUCCGUUGCCCCGCCACGCAGGCAAGCGAUAAGCAGAACGAGAAGGGAGUGCGCGCACACACACACAAAACGACCAAAUGCAAAACGCCCCGCAUCCGCUUGCUCGCCCGACCGCCGCCGCCGCCCGUCUUCUUCGGCUGAAAAGACGGCGUGCGUGCGCCUUUCUCCCCUUCCCCGUUGCGUUAUUGUUUUAUGCUUUUUUUUCUGUGCCGUCUUCCGGCGCGCGUUUCUCGCUUCUCCGCCCCUUCUCGCUUUCGCUCCUCGACUCGUCCACCCCAGCAGCGUCACCGCCCUCCCUCCCUCCCCUCGGAGAGGAGGGGCAGAGGGGACGCCGAGCUCUGCGCCGCUGCCAAUGGUCGGGCUGCGCUAUGUGCGCGCGUGUGUGCGUUCUCGUACGUCGGUGUAUGCCCGUAGAUGCAUGCACAUGCAUAACUACACAUAUGCAGACGCGUGUGCCUUCGGGCAGCGCAGCCUCUUUCUGCUUCCACUCCCCUUCACCUGCCCUUCUUCUCUCCCCCUGUACGUACGUGUGUGCGGGACGCCUGCGUCGCUUCUCCCCACUCGCUGCCUCGUCCGCGCGACUCGUCCACUGCACACGCGCAAACGGGCAG